rnacentral:rRNA from 1 species
CCUACGGGUGGCUGCAGUGGGGAAUAUUGCACAAUGGGGGAAACCCUGAUGCAGCAACGCCGCGUGAGUGAAGAAGGAUUUCGGGAUGUAAAGCUCUAUCAGCAGGGAAGAAGAGGACGGUACCUGAGUAAGAAGCCACGGAUAACGACGUGCCAGCAGCCGCGGUAAUACGUAGGGGGCAAGCGUUCUCCGGAUGUACUGGGUGUAAAGGGAGCGUAGACGGUGAGAAAAGUCUGCAGUGCCAGCCCGGGGCUCCACCCCGGGACUGCCUUUGAAACUGCCUGACUGGAGUGCUGGAGAGGCAAGCGGACUUCCUUGUGUAGCGGUGAACUGCGUAGCUAUUAGGCAGCACCCCAGUGGCGACGGCGGCUUGCUGGACUGUAACUGACGUUGCGGCUCGAAAGCGUGGGGAGCAACCAGGAUUCGAUACCCUGGUAGUC